GGUGGCCACGGAAGUCGGAAUCCGCUCAGGAGUGUGUAACAACUUACCUGCCGAAUCGACCGGCCCCGAAAAUGGAUGGCGCUGGAGCGAGCGACCGAUGCCGGUGAAAAGUAACAACCACAUACAAUCACCAAACAUCUCCACUG
rnacentral:ncRNA from 1 species